rnacentral:rRNA from 1 species
UACGGGGGGGGCAAGCGUUGUUCGGAAUUACUGGGCGUAAAGGGCUCGUAGGUGGCCAACUAAGUCAUACGUGAAAUCCCUCAGCUUAACUGGGGAACUGCGUCUGAUACUGGAUGGCUUGAGUUUGGGAGAGGGAUGCGGAAUUCCAGGUGUAGCGGUGAAAUGCGUAGAUAUCGAGAGGAACACCAGUGGCGAAGGCGAGUCCCUGGACAAAACCUGACACUGAGGCACGAAAGCUAGGGGAGCAAACAGG